GAAAGGCGUAGUCGAUGGGAAACAGGUUAAUAUUCCUGUACUUGGUGUUACUGCGAAGGGGGGACGGAGAAGGCUAUGUUGGCCGGGCGACGGUUGUCCCGGUUUAAGCGUGUAGGUGUGUGUUCCAGGUAAAUCCGGUUCACUUUAACACUGAGGCGUGAUGACGAGGCACUACGGUGCUGAAGUAACAAAUGCCCUGCUUCCAGGAAAAGCCUCUAAGCAUCAGGUAACACGAA
rnacentral:rRNA from 1 species